CCGUAAGUAAAUCAUGCAUUUUAAUUCAUUACAGAUUGAGAAGUGUCCCAUGAUGCUGCGUGGGCAGACCUCAAUCUUGAGGGUAGCGCAGACAUGUUCCUGUGGCUUUCACCCUCGGCAGUCUGUGAGUAGUCCUGCAGCAUCCAGGCCAGCUACCUCAGCCUCCACUUCAGCUGCCUCAGCGGCGCCUGUACAGAGCCCUGGGAGGCCUGCAUUGACGCUGUCAAUGUUUGAUAAAGCGCGGUUCGGCGGGACUUUGUCUGCGGCAGCCAGGCCUAAUGUCAACGUGACCAGGAAGCAUGUCGAG